CGGAGGGGGCAAGCGUUAUUCGGAAUUAUUGGGCGUAAAGGGCGCGUAGGCGGCUUUUCAAGUGGCGGGUGAAAUCCCUCGGCUUAACCGAGGAACUGCCUGCCAGACUGAAAGGCUCGAGACCGGGAGAGGUGAGUGGAAUUCCCAGUGUAGCGGUGAAAUGCGUAGAUAUUGGGAGGAACACCAGUGGCGAAGGCGGCUCACUGGACCGGAACUGACGCUGAGGCGCGAAAGCGUGGGGAGCAAACAGGAUUAGAUACCCUGGUAGUCCACGCCGUAAACGAUGAGUGCUUGGUGUAGCGGGUAUCGACCCCUGCUGUGCCGACGUCAACACAUUAAGCACUCCGCCUGGGGAGUACGGUCGCAAGACUG
rnacentral:rRNA from 1 species